rnacentral:rRNA from 1 species
UACGUAGGUGACAAGCGUUGUCCGGAUUACUGGGCGUAAAGAGCGCGCAGGCGGUCGUUCAAGUCGAGUGUGAAAGCCCCCGGCUCAACUGGGGAGGGUCAUUCGAUACUGAUCGACUCGAAGGCAGGAGAGGGAAGUGGAAUUCCCGGUGUAGUGGUGAAAUGCGUAGAUAUCCGGAGGAACCCCAGAGGCGAAGGCGGCGUCCUGGCCCAUUUCGUGACGUUCAGACAUGACAGCAUGGGGAGCGAACGG